UACGGAGGGUGCAAGCGUUAUCCGGAUUCACUGGGUUUAAAGGGUGCGUAGGAGGGCAGGUAAGUCAGUGGUGAAAUCUCCAAGCUUAACUUGGAAACUGCCGUUGAUACUAUCUGUCUUGAAUAUUUGUGGAGGUGAGCGGAAUAUGUCAUGUAGCGGUGAAAUGACUUAGAUAUGACAUAGAACACCAAAUUGCGAAGGCAGCUCACUACACAAUCAUUGACUCUGAGGCACGAAAGCGUGGGGAUCAAACAGG
rnacentral:rRNA from 1 species